rnacentral:rRNA from 1 species
AGUAGUUUGAUCACUGGCUCAGGACGAACGCUGGCGGCGUGCUUAACACAUGCAAGUCGAACGAUGAACCGGAGCUUGCUCCGGGGAUUAGUGGCGAACGGGUGAGUAACACGUGGGCAACCUGCCCCAGACAUCGGGAUAACCAUUCGAAAGGAUGGCUAAUACCGGAUAUGACCACUUCGGGCAUCCGAUGGUGGUGGAAAGGAUUCUGGUCUGGGAUGGGCCCGCGGCCUAUCAGCUAGUUGGUGGGGUAAUGGCCUACCAAGGCGACGACGGGUAGCCGGCCUGAGAGGGCGACCGGCCACACUGGGACUGAGACACGGCCCAGACUCCUACGGGAGGCAGCAGUGGGGAAUAUUGCGCAAUGGGCGAAAGCCUGACGCAGCGACGCCGCGUGAGGGACGAAGGUCUUCGGAUUGUAAACCUCUUUCAGCAGGGACGAAGCGAAAGUGACUGUACCUGCAGAAGAAGCACCGGCUAACUACGUG